AUAAUCUUCUAUUCAUGUCUUAUCACCUUGAUAGUCAUCUGUGAGACCACCACAUUUACUGCUAUUUUGCUGAUUCUUAGACAAUUUAGACAUUAUCAUCUCUAGCUUAGUUUAUUGAAGCUAAACUCUUAAUUAGUGCACCCUAUGCAAAAUAGAGCUGCCCACUCCCACCCUGGCACCUCUAAGCCCUUUUGUGCCAUGUGUUGGAGGAGCCGAAGGGGAACUGGGCAUGAUACAUAAAGACUUGCCAGUCCAUUGGCCUGGAGUUUGUCUUAAUAUCAGAGAGCUGUACCCUGGAAAAGUGACUCUACUUAAGUUGCAUGUUAUCACAGUAUUUAUUUCUUGUUUUUAUUAAGGACAGAGUAAAAUUAUUUUUUCAAAAAGCCCUUUAUUUAGCUUUGCUUUUCUUUUUUGUUAUUGAAGAUGCAGUUGAAAGAAGGAAGUCUAACUCUCUCAGGAAUUGGCGUGGUGCAUCCCCAGAGGGAGAGUGAGUGAACCCAGACCUCUGUGAUGGGUAGGGGGGCUCUGUCUUCUUUUUGCAGGUUUCUCUCUUCUUGCCUCUUAUCCUUUGUAGAUGGAGAUACUACAAUAUAGGUUAAUGUGAUUUCAGAAUGAAAUAUUCUGCCAAUUUAGGGUUGUUACUAGGUGGUGGUGGGUUUGGCGGUGGACAAAGUUAGAAAGAUGUUGUGUGCAGUCCUCUUCUCCCAUUCUCUCAUGAUGCAUUGGUUCAUUCAUUCAUUCUUUCUUUCUUUCAUUUU
rnacentral:lncRNA from 1 species